rnacentral:rRNA from 1 species
UACGUAGGGUGCAAGCGUUAUCCGGAAUUAUUGGGCGUAAAGAGCUCGUAGGCGGUUUGUCGCGUCUGCUGUGAAAACUGGAGGCUCAACCUCCAGCCUGCAGUGGGUACGGGCAAACUAGAGUGCGGUAGGGGAGAUUGGAAUUCCUGGUGUAGCGGUGGAAUGCGCAGAUAUCAGGAGGAACACCGGUGGCGAAGGCGGAUCUCUGGGCCAUUACUGACGCUGAGGAGCGAAAGCGUGGGGAGCGAACAGG